CAUACUGAUCAGACGCGGUUCGUGUAACGAAAUAAUAUCGUAGAAAGCAAUCAUUCACGUCAUUUCCCGUGGAGACAUACGCGACUCUAGACAGAACGCGGUUAUGUACACCUGCCAACGAAUCGACCAGCCGGAUUAUUCACUAGGAGCCACGACCUGGGAGGCCUUUCAGAUAAUAUGGAAAGAAGAACAAAAUGACGAUCGAGGUUAAAGGAAGCCUGUCGAGCAUAUCUUAUAUAGAUAUGCAUUAUAUAUUGUGUAUGUGUAUUCGUUUACCAAUCUAGUAAUAUCAUAUAAUGAUGCAAAUUUUCUCUCUUAUUUUGUAUGAUUUCAAAUUUUCAUGAUUUAUGACAUAUCAGUCAAUGAAAAUAUAAUAUAAUUGAUAUUAUUAUUUACGUUUUAUCUAAAUUUAUAAGAAAAAUAAAUAGACUUUUGAAAUAAUACAUCCUGUUUCUUAGAAAUCAUUUUGAACUAUUCAUAAAUACUAUUAUGUAUAAUAUAAUAUUUAUUAUGUAGAAUUUAUACAUAUUCUAUAUUAUUUUAUAACUAUAUAUUAACAUAAUUAAUAGAAUGUUAUAUUAUGUUAAUGAAAUUCAUAAUCUUUCAUUGACAUUUAAUACUAUUAUAUUUGCCAUCAAUUGUUCUUUUAACCAACAUUUAACAAUAAUAAAUCAUAUUUUAGUUAGCAUUUUAUUUUUCAAUUCAUUUAAAAUUUCAUAAAGGUAUAUUCUAUAUUUGCAGUUUUCUAUAUUGUAUAAUUUAUAUCUAUAUUAAUAUAAAUGAUAUAAUUUUUUAUUUUUAUUAUUUUGUUUCAAAUACGAUAAUAUUAUUUUAAGAAAAGACGAAGGUAUUUGAGAUUAAAUAUUUUAUUAUUUAAAGCGGUAUAUGAUAUUAUGCUUCUUUUUCGUUUUUCAAGAAUAUAAAUGAAAAAAAUUCGUGUAAAUCUUGUUUUUAAAUCUUGCAAUGUCUACAAUCGAUAUGAAGAUAGGUCAUCUGUUAAUUUCUUGAAAUAAUUAUUCGCGUAUCAAAUUGACAAAUCAUUCGUUAAAUUUAUUUACAUAUAUGUAUUAUAUAAAUUUAAUCAAUUUUUUUAAAAUCUAAAAUAUAUCAUAAAAUUACCAUCAUUAAAAAUAAAUGGCGUGUAAAGCUUUGUAAGUUAGUAUACUAUUAUCUAAAUUUCACAUGAACAUAACCUAAAUUCACAAAAUUUAUUUAUCACUAAAAAAUUAAAAAUUAGAAAUCAAUUAUUCAAAAAUAUAUUUUCGAUACAUUUAUGUUAUUUUUAGUUAUAAUUUUUUUAUGAAUCAAUAUUUUAAUUAUGUACUUUUGGUAUUACAAAUAACUUUCUAUCUUUUUAGGAACAUUGUCGGAACCAGAUCGUUAAAUUGUUCUGACGUUUGACCGUCUAUGAGUACUUGGUAUUUCGUAGAGGGACUUAGGGACAGCAAUUUGCGUGGGAUUGGAAUGUUUGGGCGCGAUCAUGUUUUACUGAAAACAUACGUCUGCGAAUGUACCACCUAUUCUAGGCCAUCGACCUCUUGAAUAAACUAUUUGAACAUUGCAACAAUAUUAAUAAAUAAUCGAUCUAUCGAACAUUAUAUUCAAAUUUCUUUUGUAUUUAGAACGAUUCAACUUAUAGUGUAUAUAUCACUUGUUAAAAAAUAUUCUGUUAUGUGCAUAUCGUCUUUUAAAUAGGUUAUAUAUGGAAAAGCAAAUUUAUCGCGACAGAAGUUAAUUAUUAGCUAGUCUUAGAAAGCUAUAUAGCGGAAAUAUCGAUUCUUGAAAAAUAUCACGAACGAGGAAAUGCGAGGGUCGUGAUAUUGGCUUACUCUUUCACCUGUUAUCGAAAGAGACUUCAUUCACCGCGAUAGCACAAUCUGAAUGGUGCUGCCAUUAAGUGGCUGCCUCGCUCAGGUAACCUUACUUCCUUCAAAUUGAAUCUACGUUAAUCUUUAGAAUAUUUAUUACUUAUAAUUUAUCAAAUAUUUUGAUUUUUUUACUUUAUUUAUUAUUAUAUUUAAAAAAUUUUAUUUACUAUAUUUUAAAUUUAUCCUAAAAAUUAUAAUUCUGUUAUUGAUUUUCAUUAACAACAAUUCUUUUGGUAUAUUUUUAUUCAUUU